rnacentral:lncRNA from 1 species
GCACUGAUCAAAAGAAAAACUAUGUUCCCAUCAAUGGAAAAGAAAAACUCACCUGAUGCUGCAUCCACAAACUGGCCAUUGAUCAAAAGCUUAGUGUGACCUACUAUGACAGGUGGAGUAAUUGGGUCCUCAACAGCAGCAGCAGCAGUGCUAUAUUUACCAAUUCCUCUACUUACAGAAGAAGACCUCCCUAACAAAAGUAGUAUCAACCAAUGAGUGACAUAUAAAAUCAUAAAUGUCAACAUUUGUACAUGACCCUUUUGUUUGUUUUUUUACUUCUUCUUUUUUUCCUUCAAAACAGAAUCAAAGAGACUGUGCAGAAAGACAGUCAAACAUCUCCGCCUUCAUUUGGCUUAGCACUCAACACACAUUGGGGGGUACCCUAUAAAACACUAAAUGGGACCCCUCAGGCUGAUGCAGGGGCGGAGCCAGCCCAGUCUUGACUGGGCUGGAGCCUAGGUGAGAAUUUGAGGUCAAAAAAAUUACUACAUCACAUACGAGAGCUCCGAUCCUCCAGUAUGUUUCAGCUUUCCGAUGGCGGAUCGAAGAAUAGUGUCGACUAUGCCGAGCACCUCUGAUCCUAGCUAGCCGAGAGGCUUGGUCUGGGUUAGGCCGGUGCAAACCCUAGUUGAGCUUCCAAAUGCGUCAGUUUCGGCGGCAAUUAGAGCUCCUAUAAGAUGAUGAAACCAUUGGAUUUCUGGUAUCAGGGAAAGAAACUCGGUUGUUAAUGGUGACGGAGUUGUGAGCGGCUCUGACGGUGUGAGCUGGGUUUCUGACGGUGGAAGGGUCGCCGUGAUUGACCAGGAGUUUGAGGAAUGAUGAGGUGUGGAAGGGCAGUGGGGUGGCAAGGUUUGGCGGUGGAUAUGGAAGAAGAGAAGCAGGUGAGAGAAAGAGGGUGAGUCAAGUCAAUUAAGUUUGGAAUCUUUUGGAGGUGAGAGAGAGAGAGAGAAGCAACAAAAAUAUAAGUGAGUUGUUUAGGUAGUACUAAAAAAAACCUGAACUAAAAUAAUGAAAAAGCAACUGUGUUUGGGUAGAAUUCUAAAUGUAGCAACUGAGUUCAGGUAGAAAUCUAAAUGUAGCAAUUAUGUUUAGUAUUUUGUAAAAUCUCUGGCACCAGAGUUUUGUUUGUCGAAUUUUUUGUAUGUAUUACAAUUAGCUCUGGUGAUAUUCUCAUCCUGGCUCCGUCACUGGGGCUGGCUCCGUCACUGGGGCUGAUGUGAAAUCAUGUUCAUUUAGAUUAUGAUUAGAUUAAUGUCACUUUCAAAAUCUCAGAGAUAAGAACAGUAGGUCAAGAUUGUGGUGCCAUUAAAUACCAUCACCAAAACAGAGAAAAAACAACCAAAAACAUUCAUCUCCAUCUCUAAAACCCUACUGCAAAUCCUUGUUUGCCCAAAUACUAAAGCUUUUGAUUGUUGGAAAAGAAAGGAUCAGACUGAAUUGAAAAUCAAAAACUCCUCAACUGUAUGCUCUUAUAGUCGACAGUAAUGUAAAUAUCAUAAACAAGAUCAAUCAUUUUUGCUCCAUCACUAUACGUUUCCAAAACGCAGGUGACCUUAAACCACUCUGAUCCAUCCAAAACAUAAACAAAAGCCAGAACAAAACAAAAAGGAGUACUGAAAGAACUGGUAGAUCAUGAUGUACCUUUAGAAAAGGAAGAAGCAGAAGUGAAUGAACGAGACAAAAGAGACGAGACCCUCCGAGCUGCCAUGAUCAAUAACACAAACAGAGCUCUAGUCUCUAGCUUCAAAGGAGAAAAGUAUCAGCAAAUGUGUAUGAUAUUUAUAUAUAUAUGAGUUGGUUGCAUUGGUUAGUCAAUAGCUGAAUUAUUAAGGACAACAUGUUCAUGACUUUAUACUGAGGAUAAAAAUGUCUCACUUUUGGCCUCGUGAUCGACCUACCACGAAUUAAUUCAAUAACUAAUGCAUGGAUCUUUUGCUUUCAGUUGUCUAAUGCAGAUGUUUUCCCCCACAAUCAUGAUGAAAUAGACAUAGAGCUCUUAGGCCAUGAUAAAAGAAAUGAAUGGGUCAUCCAAACAAAUGUGUAUGCAAAUGGGAGUGUCAGCACUGGGAGAGAAGAGAAAUUUUACUUCUGGUUUGAUCCAACAACACAGCACCAUCAGUACACCAUCAUCUGGAACAAUCAUCACACAGUGUAAGAAAAAAAGAAAACCAAUUGAAAUACAUUGUACCAAUUGGAUUAAUCUAAAUUACCAAAUUCUGAAAGUUCCCUAAAUUUUCAGGUUUCUAGUGGACAACAUCCCAGUGAGAGAGUUUGAGCAUAAAGCUCAUUCUUCCCAUCAAAACUGAUGUCUGUUUACGCAACAAUAUGGGAUGGAUCAGAGUGGGCAACACAUGGAGGAAAGUAUCCAGUCAACUACAAGAAUGCACCAUUUACAGUUUCAUUUGCAGAAAUGGAGAUAAGUGGUUGCAUUUCCAAUCCCAGUGCUUCUGCUCCCAAAUGUUCUAAGACCUCUUCAAGUUUGGACCCAGUUGAAGGACCAGAGUUUGUGAAGUUGACUAACCAACAAGUUAGUGCUAUGGAUUGGGCAAGAGGGAAGCUAAUGUUUUACUCUUAUUGUAAAGAUACAUCUAGGUUUAAAGUUAUGCCACCAGAGUGCAAAUAGUUCUGCGAUUCCAUCAUAUGUAUAAGCUCAUCAACUUAGAACACGAUCGAUUCAAAUUAUACAGUUUCACAAUAUUCAUGUUCAUCUGUACCUAAUUACAAACAAUUUUCAUUUGGGUCCAUAUAAAGGUUGUUUAUGGGCCCAUAUCAGAGGUUGGGGAAUCAUUUUGAGAUUGCAGUGGCCAAUGGAGGACCAAAAUACAUCCAGUUGUUUUCUCACUAGACAUACUACCCGCGCGUUGCCGCGGUAUUUCAUUUUGUGAACAAAUUAGAAGAACAAGUUCAAAAUCAUAGGCACUAAAUCAGAAUCUAAGUUUUUAUCCUCCACUCCAAACCUGAGUGUUGCAUGACUUGUAUGAGAAAGUCUGUAAAUAGAUUGUAUAUGGGAGCGCUUGAAAUGAUUUGGUCUCUGGUUACGAAUGACCCAAUCUAUCUAUGGCAACCACCCGAUCUUACAAAAAUCAUUGCUUACUCGUCAGUAGCCCGGGAAACAAAGUACAUACAUUAUGCAACAGGAAACCAAAAUAGUACAGAUGUUAGUUCACAUGUAUUGCAUCAUCAUUGGAGCUACAACGAAACGAAUAUUAUACAACAUGAUGCAGAUUGAUAUAUAGUUUCUAUUGUAAUUUGUGCAAAGGAAUAACUGCUUUACGUGUGUUUUUUUUUCUCAAACUUAUAUGCCAAGUAGUUAGAAGUUUCCAUAUUGCAAAAAAAAAAAAAAAAAAAAACGGGUAGAAACUGAGCUGAAACAGAUAAAGAAAUAUCUCUUGAGAUUGAGAGAUUAUGAUAUUGCUUGCUGCAAAUAAUAAAUCACAACAAUCAAGCUCAAGUACAAUACACAAAUAAUAAACCCUAAAAUAAUAAAUCACAACAAUCAAGCUCAAGUACAAUACACAAAUCAUAUUUUGUCAAGUUAACUGCACAAAGUAAGACAAAAACUUCGAUCUCUUCCAUAGCUACACAAUGCACAUUUAAGUUUUAACUUCUCUGAAAUGCUUUUUCUGCAUUUUUAAAUGAAUGUCACUUUUCUGCUCGUCAUACCACAGCAUUUCUGAAAGCUAACUACAACUUAUGAUCAAUGGUACUUCAGUUUGAAAGAAAAAAAAAGAAAAAAAAGCCCUAUGUUAAAGUCCUACAACAACAAAAGUAUAUCCAAUAAUUCUAUAUUCAAAUCCAAAUUCUUUGCAACAAUGAAGACCACAGUUUGUCCUACAUUCAUUUUUGUGAAGGCGUAAGACAUAAUGAUUUCAACAUUUGUCUUCUCACCUGAGAGUUGCGGCAUAUACUUCAACUCUUGAAAGAUUUUUAUCCAGAGUCUAAAUUCUUCCACAACAGUGAAGACCAGAGUUUUGAAAGAUUUUGCUAAAUAGACGAUGCACAAUUUUUUUUGAUGUAAAACAGUAAUAUAUACCUGUAAAGCUCAACUUGUAUAAUGAUUCUAUGAACCAACAACAAUACCAAGCUAAGCACUCUAUUUUUGUGUGUGAACUGUAAAGGCAAAACAAAACAACAAUGAGAUUUAUCAAUAGAGAAUAAAGGUAGCUUGUUUAUCUCAGCAGUAAACCCAAAAGGCAUCAACGCCUUCUUAAGUUUGAUCACAAUAUGAUAGUAUUGUAAUAUACUUGAAAAGCUUCAUUACGAUUUCAAUUUGAACAAACAAAAGAGCUGUAAUAUACCUGAAUUCAAUGGGAGCUAUAUAUGAGAGCUCACUUAUCAUCAAUUAAGUUAUUGAAUGGAAAUCCAACUAUUGUCCAAAUUGAUCUGCAAAACAAAAAGAAAAAAAAUACAAAAGAAAAUUUACAUAACUGAGCAUAAAUAUAAUUAUAUGAAUUCCAUUUCAUAUUUGCUAACAUGUUUCUAAAGUGGAAAUUUCACAUAAGUAGAACUCAAGAAAUUAAUAUAAAAGGAAUGCAUACUUGUAAGAAAAGAAGAAACCAAGAUAAAGUAGAAUGCCAAGAGUUCACUAUUUCCUAGAUUAGCUACUGAAUGUGACAAUAGAAUAUCUUUUAAAUCUGCAAAAGAAAAAAGAGCAAGUCGUUAUAAAAUUGACCAUAAAUACAACUAUACAAAUUCCGUUCCAAACAUUAAAACGAAUGCAUACUUGCACGAAAAGAGGAAACCAAAAUUCAAGGGUCCACAACACCAAUAUUUGCAGGUGUUAACCUGAAAAUUGAACCUCAUAUUGGUUUUUCCCUCUCCUUUUUCUUCUUUUUCUUCGAAGUGUGCCUGCCCAUUUUAGCUUAAUAGAUUGAGAAUAGGCCUUUAUGAUUGUAAAUGGGAAAAAACCAUGCCAAUAGCUAAUUUAAAUGAGCAAAUCGGGAUUCAAUAUAGAACAUGUAAAUUUUGAACAAUAUAGAAUCACUUUACAAUCAUAAUGAACAAUUUAUUCAUUAACAUGUAGGAUGCAUUACCUUGCCAAGAGUAACCUCAAGUUCUUAACACCAUAUAACCAUCUGAUUUUAUAUCUGCAUUACAAAACCAACAAAAGAUUCAAACUCACAAAUAAAAUUGUCAAAAGGCAUGUAUUAGAAGUAUUGGAGAGGAAUAGAUCCCACAUCAGAAAAGCGACAAAUAAAAUAUAACUUAUAUGUGGAUGGAUUUUAUCCAAUUGUACCGAGACCUUUUGUGAUUAAAACCCAACACCUUAAAGGUGGUUAAGUUGGGACAGUAUCGGUACAAUGUGAUCCACGGGCCACGCUUGUCGCUGUUUAACAUGGUAUCAUAGCGGGUCCCUCUCCAAUUACUUCUCCAAUUCUCAUGGGCCCGAUUUGGGUUCAUUCUCUCGUCCGGUCCGGGAUUCUAUUCUCUCGCCCGGGUCCAGCUUCUUGUCUCACCAUCGGAAUGUUCCGAUUGGAUUGUCACCAAGUGUCCCUUGGUUAGUUCCAUCCCGAUUCAUUCCACUUGCGGACCUUGAGUCAGGUUGCACGUGAGGGGGCGUAUUAGAAGUAUUGGAGAGGAAUAGAUCCCACAUCAGAAAAGUGACAAAUAAAAUAUAAUUUAUAUGUAGAUGGAUUUUAUCCAAUUGUACCGAGACCUUUUGUGAUUAAAACCCAACACCUUAAAGGUGGUUAAGUUGGGACAGUAUCGGUACAAUGUGAUCCACGGGCCACGCUUGUCGCUGUUUAACAGCAUGAAACAUCAUUUACUUUGUAAUCCCAAUGCUACGUGAGAACUCACCAAAUUUGCAAACAUUAACAUUGUCAUUCCCAAAUAAAAAAGUUAGUUAUCAAUCCAUAAGAACUCUUAACAUAAUUCAUACCUAUAGAUUAUUGUGUAAGCAAAUAAUCACUGAAAACAUACUUGAAAGAAUACAUAUUGCAAAUUCUCCUAAUUGUAGCUUUUGUCAUGAGAAGAAAUACUCAACAUGUAUGGUAUGCUGUUACCUGAUUGGAAGGAGUGGAAUAGUGUUGUUAUAAAGUGCUGCGACGCUUUAUCUGCAAGACAUAAAAAAAAAUCGUUUUACCUUAUCAGAAAAGAAAGGCCUAGAAGAACAAUCAAAGUCAAGAAUUAACUAAAAUAUGUAAACCAAUUGCCAAAAGAAACCAACGAUAAUCAAUCAUACCUUUACCUAUAAAUACAAUCACCCAAAUCUAAAUCACAAAACAAUUUGAGAAAUUGGAUGUCCUGCAGAACAAAUCGAUGGAAACUGAGAUAAACUAAAAUGGGCAAGCACAGGGAGAAAGAUAGAAGCUACAUACAGAUCAUAUCUGCAUUAUUCCUCUUUGCAAUCACUUCUCAUCCAUAAAAUCCAACUAAUAAACAGCUAUUAGCCUUAUAAAUCAUCUACUUAAUGUUGACAUUUAUGCUAUUUAGCAUAGUAAACCCUGUAGUAUGACAUAAAAGCCUCCUUGAUCAAUUUCGUGUUUUGCUUGGUUUUGUGUUAGGUUAGCCUAACGAUAGAUAUACUGUUAGACCAAACCACAACACUUAAUUCACUGAACCAUUAAUUAGACAUAAUAAAUUGAGCUAGUUCAUUACAGAGGAGCAAGAUUAUCAUCCUCAUCAUCAUAAAAAUCAAUCCUCAGUUCUCUACUUGUCUCUUUAUUUUUGACGAUUUGGAAAGCUUUCGAGGAUUAUAGCCAUGCCGGAUUUUUGAGGGGUGUGACCACAGCCUUGACUUGCAAGUAAUUCUGAAGGCCGUAAAUACCCUUUUCUCUUCCAUUUCCACUCAUCUUGUACCCUCCAAAAGGAAUAGAAGCAUCAAACACAUCAAAGCAGUUGAUCCAUACACUACCAACUCGCAAUGCACGUGUCAAUGUGUUUGCAGUGUCUAUGUUCUGUGUAAAUACCCCUGCAGCAAGGCCGUAGCGCGAAUUGUUUGCCCUCUUUAUCACCUCAUCGAGUUCCCUGCAAUAAGUCAUAUUGUUAACUGUAGUAUUGAUGUCAGGGCCGUAUAGGGAGAAGAUACAAAACUUAAUUUAUUGCUUACUUGUAUUUCAAGACCGUCUGCACUGGGCCAAAGAUCUCAUCCUUUGCUAUCUGCAUGUCAUCCUAAUCCACGAGACAAUGAUGCUUAGGUCAACCAUAUGCAAGGUUUGAAUUCUUGGUGAAUAUGGUUAGGAGCUGCAGUGUAGAAUAAUACCUUCACAUUUGAGAAUACAGUGGGCUUAAUGUAGUAACCUUUUGAGCCAAAUCGUUCUCCUCCUGUUUCCAGUGUCGCUCCCCCUUUAAUACCGUAAUCUAUAUACUUCAGGAUCUUCUCAAAUUGGUCUGAAUCAAUCUGUUUAACAUGAAUAAGCCUCAAUCAGUAUAACGUAAAUGGCCUUUAGUGCAGCAAGUUUUGAUUCACUAGAUUUGUUCAAAGCUUAAACAAAUAAAUUCAGUAAAAGAAUUUGUUGCCCCAUGAACACUGAUCACCUGAGGACCUUGCUCGAUGCCCCCCUUGAAUGGAUCACCAACUACACGUUUCUCGGCACGUGCCGUUGCUUUCUCUACAAACUCAUCAUAUACACGUUCAUGUACAAAAGUACGAGAACCAGCACAGCAACAUUGUCCCUACAAACAGAGGUGUGAUGAAAUCAGCACACGUUUUUUCUCUCUUUUACGAAUCAACAAAUGCAUUCAAUUUUCUGUAGAACCAACUACAAUGCUUAGCAUACCUGAUUAAAGAAUAGAGCAAAAUGAGCCAACUCAACAGCCUUGUCUACAUCAGCAUCCUCACAUACAAUAAACGGAGAUUUCCCACCAAGCUCCAAAGUUACUGUCUUAAGAUUGCUUUUAGCAGCUAGUUCAAGUACAAUUUUACCAGUAGCAGUUGAUCCAGUAAAAGCAACCUGCAAACAGAUCACAAUACAUUUAGUAAGAUACUGCAAAACUCAUAAUUCAUAUGUACUUAUUGCCGAUUCAUAAUUUACCUUAUCAACGUCCAUAUGACUAGCAAUUGCCGCACCUGCAGUUGGACCAAAGCCAGAAACCAUAUUCAGAGCACCUGGAGGCAGUCCGGCCUGUAAGAAGUACAAGUAAACCGUUCAACAUGAAAUUAGUAAAUCAAACCAACAUUGAAACAAACACAGUAGAAAAUGAUGAGUUUAUCAUGAAAAUUGAGACAGACAAGGUUGAUUCAUGAAUGAGUACCUCAUGCAACAGAUGUGCAGCAUAGAGAGCAGACAAUGGUGUCUGCUCUGCGGUCUUCAGAACAAUAGUGUUCCCACAUGCUAGAGCAGGUGCAACCUUCCAAGCAAACAUGACAAGAGGGAAGUUCCAUGGAAUAAUCUGACCUGCAACACCUAUAGGUUCAUGCAAGGUUUGCACAUGAUAUGGUCCAUCAGCUGGAACGGUGAGACCGUGAAUCUUAUCCGCAUAACCUGAGGGAUAUCCAACACGUUAAAUCAUAAGUUUCUGUUGAAAGCCAAAAAACAUAACGUGCAGUUGUGUUGUAGAAUAUAGCCAUACGCCCAUACCAGCAUAGUAACGAAAGAAACGUGCAACCAUUGGUAUUUCAAUUUUAGCAGAUUGUUCAAAUGGCUUCCCAUUAUCCCAUGUCUCAAGUGCUGCUAGUUCAUCAUUAUGUUUCUCAAUCAGAUCAGCAAAGCGGAAAAGGACCCGAGAUCUUUCCUGCACACAAGGUGAUUUGUAAGGACAAAUUUAGUAAAGCACUGAAUUUGAAAAACUUUCACAUUCCAUAUUGGCACUAGCAGUCUAGCAAAUAAUAAGUAAAAAUAGUAAAAUAAAGAAUUGUUACAUAAGCUGUCAUCUUUGGCCAUGGUCCUUCAUCAAAUGCUUUUCUAGCAGCAGCAACUGCACGAUCUACAUCUUCAGCAUCGCCUUCAGCGACAUGAGCGAUCACAUCCCCAGUCCGAGGGUCCAAUGUGGGAAAUGUUUUUCCUGAGACCAAAGCAAACAUCAGAAAUUCAGCACUGAUCAAAAGAAAAACUAUGUUCCCAUCAAUGGAAAAGAAAAACUCACCUGAUGCUGCAUCCACAAAGUGCCCAUUGAUCAAAAGCUUAGUGUGACCUACUUUGACAGGUGGAGUAAUUGGGUCCUCAACAGCAGCAGCAGCAGCAGUGCUAUAUUUACCAAUUCCUCUACUUACAGAAGACCUCCCUAACAAAAGUAGUAUCAACCAAUGAGUGACAUAUAAAAUCAUAAAUGUCAACAUUUGUACAUGACCCUUUUGUUUGUUUUUUU